rnacentral:lncRNA from 8 species
AUGCUGUCAGCAGUACCAACACUGGCCCAGGGGUUUGUACAGACAGUCAAUCUGAAGGCUAACCACUGGGUCACGGCAGGGCACCUGGCACCAUUUCCCCGUCCCGAUUCCAGUCUCCAUCCUGGGUCCAGGCCUCCCAAGGUGUCCACACCCAACACAACAGAGGUCAGUGUCCACUGCUUCUGUCGGAAAUAUGUGAGAGAAGGUAAGGAGGUGACCCGGUGCAGGAGAUGCGUUAAGCAUUUUCAUGUGUUUGUCUCAUGUCGUCAAUGUACGUGAAUUUGUCUGUCCAUCAUCUGUUUUGUCUGAUGUUUUCCCCACACUUGUUUUCACUGCUUGGCCGGCUCCCCACCUCAAGACGGUAGGUAUUUUACUACAUUGCAUCUUGUUGUAUAUUGUAUGUUAUUGUAAAUAACCUUAAUAACCUGUUGUAAUAUUGUUUUACAUUUGCAGACAUUGGCUGUGAAGUUGGUAAGUUGUUUUGUUAGUAUAUGUAUGUAUCUGUCUUGUAUUCAAAGUAAAGUUUACAAGCAUGUAAUAUGAAACUUGCUUAAAUUGGCUGUAAAUGUAACAUUUGCAUAUUAAAUGUAUUCAUUGCAAGUAACAUUUUCAAUUGACUGAAAUUGACAGUUCAAUUGCCCAGUUCCUUACUGGUCCUUAACUUCUCUAGGGUAGGGGGCAGUAUUUUGACGUCCGGAUGAAAGGCGUUCCCAAAUUAAACUGCCUGCUACUCAGGCUCAGAAGGUAGGAUAUGCAUAUAAAACACUCUGAAGUUUCUAAAACUGUUUGAAUGAUGUCUGUGAGUAUAACAGAACUCAUACGGCAGGCAAAAACCUGAGAAAAAUCCAACCAGGAAGUGUGGAAAUCUGAGGUUUGUAGUUUUUCAAGUGAUUCCCCAUCCAGUAUACAGUGACUUAGGGUUCAUUUUGCACUUCCUAAGGCUUCCACUAGAUGUCAACAGUCUUUAGAACGUUGUUUCAUGCUUCUACUGUGAAUAUGGAGCGAACAAGAGGGCCUGGAAGUUGAUGAGAGAGAAAAUGACAUGAGCUCAGAGGUGCGCACUCACAUGAGAGUUAGCUGUGUUCCUUUUCUUUUCUGAAGACAUUGGAAUUGUCCGGUUGGAAUAUUACUGAAGAUUUAUGUUAAAAAUGUCCUAAAGAUUGAUGCUAUACAUCGUUUGACAUAUUUCUACGAACGUAAAUAGAACUUUUUUUGACUUUUCGUCGUGACAUUUGCGUAGUAGUGGACUGAACGCGCGAACAAAAAGAGGUAUUUGGACAUAAAUUAUGGACUUUAUCGAACAAAACAAACAUUUAUUGUGGACCUGGGAUUCCUGGGAGUACAUUCUGAUGAAGAUCAUCAAAGGUAAGUGAAUAUUUAUAAUAUUAUUUCUGAGUUUUGUUGACUCCACAAAAUGGUGGGUUUGGUUUCGUGUCUGAACGCUGUACUCAGAUUAUUGCAAAAUUUGCUUUCGCCUUAAAGCUUUUUUGAAAUCUGACACAGCGGUUGCAUUAAGGAGAAGUGUAUCUAUAAUUCUUUAAAUAACUGUUGAAUAUUUUAUCAAUGUUUAUGAUGAGUAUUUCUGUAAAUUGAUGUGCUCAUUCACCGGGAGUUUUGGGAGGCAAAACAUUUCUGAACAUUACACGCCAAUGUAAAAUGGGGUUUUUGGAUAUAAAUAUCAACUUUAUCGAGCAAAACAUACAUGUAUUGUGUAACAUGAAGUCCUAUGAGUGCCAUCUGAUGAAGAUCAUCAAAGGUUAGUGAUUAAUUUUAGCUGUAUUUCUGGUUUUUGUGACGCCUCUCCUUGCUUGGAAAAUGGCUGUGGGGUUUUUCUUGUUUAGGUGCUGUCCUAACAUAAUCUAAUGUUAUGCUUUCGCCGUAAAGCCUUUUUGAAAUCAGACAAUGUGGUUGGAUUAACAAGAAGUGUAUCUUUAAAAUGGGAUAUAAUAGUUGUAUGUUUGAGAAAUUUGAAUUAUGAGAUUUUUGUUGUUUUGAAUUUGCCGCCCUGCUAUUUCACUGGCUAUUGAAUAGUGUGUCCCGCAGGUACCCCAGAGAGGUUAACCCCUUCUCCCUAACCAUUAAUAUUUUGUGCCCAAUUCCAAAUCAAAUUUUAGGCCAGGUUUGGUAUGGAAUUGGACAUUGGUUUUUAGUUAGUGUUUGCAUAUCUGGAGGUUCUAGAUUUGUGUAUGUAAUAUGGGCAGAAGUCUCCUGGAGUCCAUUACACAGCAAGGUUGAGUCAUCACCAUAUUGCUACACCUAUCCAAGCCCCAUCAGGUCAAACACUACAAAUAUAGAGUAGAGGGUUAAAGGCCUUAAUUAAAAACGAAAUCCUUCUCGACCUGUACCUUGACGUGGUGAGAGGGCUUCCAACUAAACCAGGCCCAUGUUAUUGAACCCAUGACUGAGACUGGGUGCCUGUUGAGGACAAGUGACAGGAAGAACUAGCUGCAGCACCUGAUCAGGCAUUUCUUGAUUCUGCCUCUUUCCUCUCUCCUCAUCUUUUAACUCUUUCUCUCUCCCUCCAGACGAAAUGUUGCAUCUAGCGACAUCUGAUUGCCCAACAAGCUGCCUGCUCAUCCCAUCCAUCUCAUUACGUCAUAUACAGCUACUGUUAUUGUCAUGUUUUCAUUAUCUGCUAAUAAAGUUCGCUAGCCGUAUCAUACUGGGCAUAUAAUAUGUGAGAUACACAGAUGAACUAAAAACCACUAGCACUGCAAACACUCAGAACAAAGAGAGCAGCAGUGCCUGGACUUCGCAGUCUUUCCAAGUCCCUCUUCUGAGACUGCCUGUUGAGAACAAGUGACAGGCAGAACCUCCCAACCACACAGCACCCACCUCUUUAUUCCACACACCAGAAUUAAGUAUUUCAGUCUGAUUGCCAUGUGAGUACAAUUUUUUUGUGUGAAAAUUAAUUAAUGACACAACUACCAAAAAAACGAUCAGUUUAUGUAUUAAAAUCUUACAUAUUGCCAGGUUGGUUUUCACAGCUGUUUCAUAAGGUGUUAAUUAUUGCAAGUUGUAAGGUAUCAUGUGAUGGUAUUUAUUUGUUCCACAUUAUUCCUUGUUGUAUCCUAGGACCUGUGUUGGCAUGUGGACUAAUAUGUUGUUGAGUUGUGUUCUUACACUGGUACAGUCAUGCCCUAUGAGAUGUAUGACUGCGCAUGUGCGAAAAUAAAUAAAGUGCAUUUUCCCCAUUCUGGUUAAAACACCAAUGAUGAACAUGUGUGUUUAUUCCUCCGUUAAGUAAACCGGUAUUCCUGUCCUGAAGAUGUCAGCACCAACAACCUGCAAGGGUGUACCAAUGAGCUAUGCAAGAUAGAACAUUUUUUAUCAUACUAAACUCAGCAAAAAAAGAAAAGUCCCUUUUUCAGGACCCUGUCUUUCAAAGAUAAUUCGUAAAAAUCCAAAUUACUUCACAGAUCUUCAUUGUAAAGGGUUUAAACACCGUUUCCCAUGCUUGUUCAAUGAACCAUAAACAAUUAAUGAACAUGCACCCGUGGAACGGUCGUUAAGACACUAACAGCUUACAGACGGUAGGUCUGUAACAGUUAUGAAAACUUAGAACACUAAAGAGGCCUUUCUACUCCCACGGGGGGCCAGUACAAAAGAAAAUGCAUGAAAUGAAAAAAAUGAAAUGUAUGUAUUCACUACUGUAAGUCACUCUGGAUAAGAGCGUCUGCUAAAUGACUAAAAUGUAAAUGUAAAAAUGUAUUGAUUUUGAAAAACACCAAAAGAAAAAUGCCCAGGGUCCAUGCUCAUCUGUGUGAAUGUGCCUUAGGCAUGCUGCAAGGAGGCAUGAGGACUGCAGAUGUGGCCAGGGCAAAAAAUUGAUAUGUCCGUACUGUGAGACGCCCAAGACAGCGCUACAGGGAGACAGGACGGACAGCUGAUCGUCCUCGCAGUGGCAGACCACGUGUAACAACACCUGCACAGGAUCGGUACAUCCGAACAUCACACCUGCGGGACAGGUACAGGAUAGUAACAUCAACUGCCCAAGUUACACCAGGAAAGCACAAUCCCUCCAUCAGUGCUCAGGCUGUCCGCAAUAGGCUGAGAGAGGCUGGACUGAGGCCUGUAGGCCUGUUGUAAGGCAGGUCCUCACCAGACAUCACCGGCAACAACGUCGCCUAUGGGCAUAAAUCCACCGUCGCUGGACCAGACAGGACUGGCAAAAAGUGCUCUUCACUGAGGAGUCGUGGUUUUGUCUCGCCAGGGGUGAUGGUCGAAUUUGCGUUUAUCGUCGAAGGAAUGAGCGUUACACCGAGGCCUGUACUCUGGAGCGGGAUCGAU